rnacentral:rRNA from 1 species
GUCCGUCUCGUGGGCUCGGAGAUGUGUAUAAGAGACAGAUGUCAGAUUGAGUAACGUAAACAUUGGUGAGAAUCCAAUGCCCCGAAAACUCAAGGGUUCCUGCGCAAGGCUCGUCCGCGCAGGGUCAGUCAGGACCUAAGGUGAGGCCGAAAGGCGUAAUUGAUGGCAAGAAGGUUUAUAUUCCUUCACUAGUCUAGGCUUAGUCCUGAGGGACGAACAAAUAACACUCGGCACAAUGGCCUUCCAUGGUAGGAAGGGUUAAACCAUUGUUGUUUGAUGAUAUUUUUUCCAAGAAAAGCUCAUUCGACUUUGAGUCUAGAUUACCUGUACCGUAAACCGACACAGGUGAGUGGGUUGAAUAAACUAAGGGGAGCGAGAUAACUCUCUCUAAGGAACUCGGCAAAUUGGCUCUGUACCUUCGGAAGAAAGAGUGCCCCUCAGGGGGCCGCAGUGAAGAGAUCCAGGCGACUGUUUACCAAAAACACAGGUCUCCGCAAAGUCGCAAGACGAAGUAUGGGGGCUGACACCUGCCCAGUGCCAGAAGGUUAAAGAAGUUGGUCAAUCUUUGAUGAAGCUAACGACUGAAGCCCUGGUGAACGGCGGCAGUAACUAUAACUGUCCUAAGGUAGCGAAAUUCCUUGUCGGGUAAGUUCCGACCCGCACGAAAGGUGUAACGAUCUGCGUACUGUCUCGGAGAGAGACUCGGCGAAAUAGACUUGUCUGUGAAGAUGCGGACUACCUGCACCUGGACAAAAAGACCCUAUGAAGCUUUACUGUAGCUUGAAAUUGGCUCCGGGCUUUAUUUGCGCAGGAUAGGUGGGAGGCGUUGAAGAUCUUCUUGCGGGGAGAUUGGAGCCAUUGGUGAGAUACCACUCUAAUAAAGCUAGGAUUCUAACCCUAUACCGUUAUCCGGUUAGGGAACAGUUUCAGGUGGUCAGUUUGACUGGGGCGGUCGCCUCCCAAAAGGUAACGGAGGCGUGCAAAGGUUUCCUCAGACUGGUCGGAAAUCAGUCGUAGAGUGUAAAGGCAUAAGGAAGCUUGAUUGUGAGACCUACAAGUCGAACAAAGACGAAAGUCGGCCUUAGUGAUCCGGCGGUACCAAGUGGAAGGGCCGUCGCUCAACGGAUAAAAGUUACUCUAGGGAUAACAGGCUGAUCUCCCCCAAGAGUUCACAUCGACGGGGAGGUUUGGCACCUCGAUGUCGGCUCAUCGCAUCCUGGGGCGGUAGUACGUCCCAAGGGUUGGGCUGUUCGCCCAUGAAAGCGGUACGCGAGCUGGGUUCAGAACGUCGUGAGACAGUUCGGUCCAUAUCCGGUGUGGGCGUUAGAGUAUUGAGAGGAUUCUUCUUUAGUACGAGAGGACCGAGAAGGACAAACCGCUGGUGUGCCAGUUAUUGUGCCAACAGUAAACGCUGGGUAGCUAAGUUUGGAAAGGAUAACCGCUGAAAGCAUCUAAGUGGGAAGCCCCCCUCAAGAUGAGUACUCUCAUCCUUUUGGAGUAAGGUCACGGCAAGACUAGCCGUUUGAUAGGCAUCAGGUCGAAGUUUAGCAAUAAAUGUAGCUGAGAUGUCCUAAUAGACCGAGGACUUGAAUUA